rnacentral:lncRNA from 1 species
GGGACUAUAUAUACUUUGAUCUCUACUCUCCUGUCUUCAGCCUGGUGUGUGCCUUCUCUUUUUCCUGCAUGGAACUUCCACGCUCAAAUUUUCCAAACCACAUUCCUCCUUACCUUCAACAACCUCCUAUAAAGCCCUUCUCCAAGAUGCGUUCUCCUGUACAGUGCAUAAUAGGUGAUGUCUAUUCUCCCAGUCUUCAAGAGUCUUCUUCCCUCCCCUGUAACACUGGCCAGUAGAAGAGGAUGAAGACGUGAUCACACAACUGAGCAGAAGAAACUUCAAACCAGGGAUUUUAAAAUGCUCUUGGACCAGUAAAGGCUUUAAACCUUCUUCAGCGAAAACAUUUAAUGACAGCUCCUUUGGGAACGCAGCAACUGUUUUCUUCUUUUUGCCUCUUUUUCCACCCUUCAAACUCCCCCAAGAAUGUUAAUUUUUUUAUAGUAUUUGUUAAGUGCUUAUUAUGUGUCAAGCAUUGUUCUGAGCUGGGGUAGAUACAAGUUAAUCAGGCUGUAAGCAGUCCCUGUCCCACAAGGGACUCACAGUCUAAGUAGGAGGGAGAACAGGUAUUUAAUCCCCAUUUUGCAGUGAGGAAAAUGAGUCAAAGAGAAGGGAAGUGACUUGCUCAAGGUCACACAGGAGGCAGGUGGUGGAUCCAGGAUUAGAAUCCAGGUCCUCUGGCUCCCAGACCUGUGCUCCAUCCACUAGGCAACACUGCUUAAUUAUACUCAAGGUUCAUCUCUGCCCAGUUCUACUUGUUUUAGCAAGAAACAUAGGGCCCAAUUAUUUUUCUAGAAGCAUGAGGGGCCCUCAAUAAUGCCAUAUGAAAGACCCCCUGGCUCUCUCCAUGGAUGUUGCUCCUGCUACCCCUGUCAGCCAUCUUGCAAUAUGUUGGCACUCUUAGGGGCUCGUUGAGAGAAUGGAGAUGAUUCAGUGCAACCCAUCACCCCAACUGCAAAAGCAAAUCAGGUAGUUAUUUUGCUGGUGGUGGGUCAUUCCUUCUUUAUCCUCUCCACUCAUUUUAAAGUAAAGGAAAUGUGUCUGUUAUAUUGUUGUAUUGUACUCACUCGGGCACUUAGUACACUGCUCUGCACACUUUAAGUGCUCA